rnacentral:rRNA from 1 species
UACGGGGGGGGCAAGCGUUGUUCGGAAUUACUGGGCGUAAAGGGCUCGUAGGCGGCCAACUAAGUCGAACGUGAAAUCCCUGGGCUCAACCCAGGAACUGCGUCCGAUACUGGUUGGCUUGAAUCCGGGAGAGGGAUGUGGAAUUCCAGGUGUAGCGGUGAAAUGCGUAGAUAUCUGGAGGAACACCGGUGGCGAAGGCGGCAUCCUGGACCGGUAUUGACGCUGAGGCGCGAAAGCCAGGGGAGCAAACGGG